rnacentral:rRNA from 1 species
AUACGGAGGGAGCGAGCGUUAAUCGGAAUUUCUGGGCGUAAAGCGCGCGUAGGCGGCUUUGUCAGUCGGAUGUGAAAGCCCUGGGCUUAACCUGGGAAUGGCAUUCGAUACUGCAGAGCUAGAGUAUGGUAGAGGGAAGUGGAAUUUCCGGUGUAGCGGUGAAAUGCGUAGAUAUCGGAAGGAACACCAGUGGCGAAGGCGACUUCCUGGGCCAAUACUGACGCUGAGGUGCGAAAGCGUGGGGAGCAAACAGGAUUAGAGACCCCAGUAGUCC